UUAUGAUCCAAAGCAAGAGAUGUCUUAGUUGAGAAAGGGCCUAUCAGAGAGGAAAAAAUGGAAUACCAUGUAGAUGAAGCAGUAAGACAUUUUUCAUAUGCUCGUUAUCAUAGAAAAUUAAGCAAUGGAGAGGAACAUGAUAGAACCAACAGGAGUCAGAGUUCCUUAGCACAUGAUGGACUAGGAAAUUGCAUGCAUAUUAGUGAGAAGCUUAAAGAACAUGAAAAUAGCAUUGAGCAUAUUGAUAACAUGAACAAGUGGAAUGAAUUGAGAGUUAGACUGAGAAAACAGGAAACUAUUGACAAGGAAUUGCAACAUCAAAUAACAAAGCGGAUAGAACUUGUCAGGCAAGUUCUGUUAAGAAUAAUAGCAGUUGUGAAAUAUCUUGGUAAACACAACUUGGCUUUUCGUGGAAGUAGUGAGCAGCUUUACAAGGAUGGUAAUGGUAAUUUCUUAGCUUGCAUUGAGAUGAUUGCAGAAUUUGACAUGGUAAUGCAAGAUCGCCUUAGACGUGCUGAGAACAAGGAAAUCCAUUAUCACUAUCUCAGUCAUAAAAUACAAAAUGAGUUGAUAUCUCUUUUGGCUUCUGACAUCACAUGUUCUAUCAUAAAGGUUGUUAAAGAGGACAAGUAUUUCCCUAUUAUCCUAGAUUGUACCCCUGAUGUUAGUCAUCAAGAACAAAUGACCUUUUUAGUUCGAUGUGUUUAUCUGUCUAAUGGCAAAAUAAAAGUUGAGGAGUACUUUAUGGGAUUCUUGAAAGUGGGUGACACUUCUGGCUUAGGGAUUUUCAAAGUACUGCUUGAAUCUGCUGAGUCUUUUGGCCUAAAUAUUCAAGAUAUAAGGGGUCAAGGAUAAGAUAACGGUUCUAAUAUGAAAGGAAAAUACCGAGGGGUACAAUCUAGGUUACUUGAUAUGAAUCAAAGAGCAUUAUAUAUGCCAUGUGCUUGUCAGUCUAAAUCUCACUCUUUGUGA
rnacentral:rRNA from 1 species